rnacentral:tRNA from 1 species
UAGCUCAGUGGAUAGAGCGUCAGCCUGGGGACUGAAGGGUCCUGGGUUCAAUUCCCGG